UAGUCCACGCCGUAAACGAUGACAACUAACUAUUGCGGGUAUUAACCCCUGCAGUAGUACAGCCAACGCGUUAAGUUGUCCGCCUGGGGAGUACGGUCGCAAGACUAAAACUCAAAGGAAUUGACGGGGGCCCGCACAAGCGGUGGAUUAUGUGGUUUAAUUCGAAGCAACGCGCAAAACCUUACCUAGGCUUGAAAUCCUGAGAAGACCGCCCAAAAGCGGUUGUGCCCUUCGGGGAAUUCAGUGACAGGCGCUGCAUGGCUGUCGUCAGCUCGUGUUGUGAAAUGUUGGGUUAAGUCUCGCAACGAGCGCAACCCCUAUCUUUAGUUGCCAGCAUUAAGUUGGGCACUCUAGAGAGACUGCCUGGGUUAACCAGGAGGAAGGUGGGGAUGACGUCAAGUCCUCAUGGCCCUUAUGCCUAGGGCUACACACGUAAUACAAUGGGUGACACAAAGGGUAGCGAAGCAGCGAUGUGGAGCUAAUCUCAAAAAGUCACUCUCAGUCCGGAUUGUAGU
rnacentral:rRNA from 1 species